AAGUGGAAAUGGGGAUGGAGAAAAAAACAGAAGUGGGGUUGGAUAAAGAGGUAGAAAUGGGGUUAGAGAAAGAAGUAGAAAUAGGAUGGGAUAAAGAAGUAGGAAUAGGGCGAAAGAUCCAUACAAAUAGUAUGAUAAAUAAUACCAUGAUAAAUAAGAAUACAUCAUUAAAAAAUAUGUUAAGUUGUGUAAGUAGAGAAAUGGAAAAAGGUUUAACACAAGAGGAUUUUAUUUUAAUGAAUAAAAAAAAAGUAAUAGAUAUUUUUUAUUUUUUAAAAUUUUAUUGUAUAAAUAUAUGUACAGAACAAAUAAUGGAUAUAACUUUAAAUAUAAAUGAUGACAAUAAAAUUGAAGAAAAUAUAUUUUAUAAUACAGCAAAAGAUUUUAUUAUUCAGCUAUCUGCUGAACCUUUUACAUUUUAUAUUUUUAAUAAUCUGUUUGAAUCACUAAUACAUUCAUUUCAUAACUAUGUUAAUUUUUUAAAUAAAUUUCCAAUCCAUAAUUUUAUAAGUAUACAAAUGGAAGAAACGUCAAAAGCAAUUGUACAAUUAGAUGGGUAUUUACAUUUAUAUUAUAUUUUAUAUCCUUCGUUUCAUACAAAAACAAAAUUUGAACAUAUCUUACCAAUGUUACAACUUUUUAUAGAUUAUAUAAAAAUUAAAUAUACUCAUCCAUUAAUCAGUUAUAGAAUAGCACUUAUAUUAAAAUCUUGGAUUAAAAUGUUUAAAUCUUCUUUUGCUUUUAUUAAUAAAAUUGUUGUUCUUAUUUAUAAAAAUUUAUUUUGUCUGUAUAUACAAAUACAUUUAAAAACAUUUGCUACCCAAACAAAUAUUAAAAAUGGUGCUUUCGAUCUUUCUGAAACAAAUUUAUAUCAUUACGCCUUAAAAUCAAUUAAUUUCCUUCCUCUUCUUUAUUUUAAAUUUAUUUCUUUAUUUAAGUACAUAUUAAAAUAUGAUUAUAUUUAUACAAAUUAUGACGACAUCAACGAUUUUUUGGUCAUUUCCUUAAUAAGUAUGCUCACAAAAGUAGGUUUCCGCUAUGCAUGUGCCUCGUAUACUCUAUCAUGUGUUCGCAUGUGUCCUGUAUACGAUAG
ensembl:lncRNA